rnacentral:rRNA from 1 species
AGAGAGAGACAUGCGCGCAUAUCAAUAAGCGGAGGAAAAGAAACUAACUAGGAUUCCCUUAGUAACGGCGAGUGAAGCGGGAAGAGCUCAAAUUUGAAAUCUUCAGGGUUCUACCUUGACGAAUUGUAGUUUAUAGAAGUGUUUUCUGUUAGUGGAGUGGCAAAAGUUCUUUGGAAUAGGACAUCAUAGAGGGUGAGAAUCCCGUAUUUGGUCAUUCCUCCUGGCGUUGUGAUACACUUUCAACGAGUCGGAUUGUUUGGGAAUGCAGUCCAAAAUGGGUGGUAAAUUUCAUCUAAAGCUAAAUAUUGGCGAGAGACCGAUAGCGAACAAGUACCGUGAGGGAAAGAUGAAAAGAACCUUGAAAAGAGAGUUAAACAGUACGUGAAAUUGUCAAAAGGGAAGCGUUUGACACCAGUGUUGUUUUUCCGAAAAUCAAUUACGAAUGUUUUAUUUUUGAGGAGUUAUGACUUCAUCGGCUUGCUCCUUUCUUUACUGAAACUUUCUUAAUGCACUUUUCGGUUAACAAGUCAACAUCAAUUUCUUUUGUUGUAAAAGGGUAUGAGGAAGGUGGCUUUCUUUUCGGAGAAAGUGUUUAUAGCCUUGUGCCUCUGCAAUCGGAGAGAUUGAGGUCUGCAGCGUAGAUCCUUCGGGGUUAGAUACGUUUGUGCUAAGUUAUAGCUUUUCAUAGACAACUUGUUGACUAUGUUUAGUCUUGUAGCUUACUCGCUGACGCUAUUUUACCUACGCUUAGGAUGUUGAUAGUCACAGCGUGUAC